rnacentral:rRNA from 1 species
UACGAAGGGGGCUAGCGUUGUUCGGAAUCACUGGGCGUAAAGCGCGCGUAGGCGGACUGUUAAGUCAGGGGUGAAAUCCUGGGGCUCAACCCCAGAACUGCCUUUGAUACUGGCGGUCUUGAGUGUGGGAGAGGUUGGUGGAACUCCGAGUGUAGAGGUGAAAUUCGUAGAUAUUCGGAAGAACACCAGUGGCGAAGGCGGCCAACUGGCCCAUUACUGACGCUGAGGUGCGAAAGCGUGGGGAGCAAACAGG